AUGGUACUCCCUCCAUUCAGAAUUACUUGUCGUAGAAAUGGAUGUAACUAGAUGUAUUUUAGUUUUAGAUACAUCCAUUUUCGAGACAAGUAAUUCCGAAUGGAGGGAGUACGUA
rnacentral:pre_miRNA from 1 species